AAAGGAAUAGACGGGGGCCCGCACAAGCAGCGGAGCAUGUGGUUUAAUUCGAAGCAACGCGAAGAACCUUACCAAGGCUUGACAUCCCUUGAACGUUAUGGAAACAUAAAAUCCCUUCGGGGCAAGGAGACAGGUGGUGCAUGGUUGUCGUCAGCUCGUGUCGUGAGAUGUUGGGUUAAGUCCCGCAACGAGCGCAACCCCUAUUAUUAGUUGCCAGCACGUAAAGGUGGGAACUCUAAUAAGACUGCCGGGGACAACUCGGAGGAAGGUGGGGACGACGUCAAAUCAUCAUGCCCCUUAUGUCUUGGGCUACACACGUGCUACAAUGGUCGGCACAAAGGGCAGCGAAGCCGUAAGGCGAAGCGAAUCCCAUAAAGCCGGUCUCAGUUCGGAUCGUGGGCUGCAACCCGCCCACGUGAAGCCGGAGUUGCUAGUAAUCGCGAAUCAGCAUGUCGCGGUGAAUGCGUUCCCGGGCCUUGUACACACCGCCCGU
rnacentral:rRNA from 1 species